UUUUUUGUCACCUGUGACUCAAUCUUCUCCCAAAUCCUAAAUAUGCCUCUAUUGUACAUAAUCAUUUAAAGCCCAAAUCCAGAUAAAUUGAAGGAUGCAAUCGAAGAUUCAUAGCUUCCUCAAGCCUUCUUCUAUGUUUUAGAGUGCAAACCCAUCCAAAUUCUUGGAGUGAUGAGUUCAAUUAUAAGAUGACAUAGUAAUUAUUUUUGAUUAAAUACCACUGGAGAUCUCAAAAUCCAAUUGGUUUUUAAUUUCAACAUCUUCAUAUAAUCAAUCAACUACAAUUUGGAUUGUCGAAGCAGUCUUCAAAGGGAAGAUUUUGAGGUUUAAGUAAAUGGCUUGCAAAUAUUAAUCUAAGUCCAUUUAAGGGCUGAAUGCUGAUGAAUCAAAUGAGGUUGUGAGGGAUCUUUGUAUUUUUUGGGUCACCCUUCAUGAAGUUCUUGUUAUGCAUUUCUUAACCCUUAAGUUCCUCAAAAAGGAAAUUGAUUUUCAAAACAGCUCUGUGUUUCACAAUUUGGGAUAAAUUAUGUCUUGUUGUUUGCCUAAUAUAUGUACCAAUCGAAGAAAGUACUCAAACUGAUUAAUGCUAGAUGGAGCACUCAUAGAGCUUUAGAAUUGUUGAAUGGAAAUGUUGAGGUAUAAUCCUAAUUCAUUUUUUUAUUUUUUGAAGGGUUAA